rnacentral:rRNA from 1 species
CCUACGGGAGGCAGCAGUUAGGAAUUUUGCGCAAUGGGCGGAAGCCUGACGCAGCAACGCCGCGUUGGGGAAGAAGGUCUUCGGAUUGUAAACCCCUUUUAUCGGGGAAGAUGAUGACGGUACCCGAUGAAUAAGCCUCGGCUAACUACGUGCCAGCAGCCGCGGUAAUACGUAGGAGGCGAGCGUUGUCCGGAUUUACUGGGCGUAAAGGGCGUGUAGGCGGUGGCGCAAGUCGGAUGUGAAAGCCCCUGGCUCAACCAGGGAGGGUCAUUCGAUACUGCGUUGCUAGAGGGCAGCAGAGGAAAGUGAAAUUCCCGGUGUAGGGGUGAAAUGCGUAGAUAUCGGGAGGAACACCAGUGGCGAAGGCGGCUUUCUGGGCUGUACCUGACGCUGAGGCGCGAAAGCGUGGGGAGCGAACUGGAUUAGAUACCCCUGUAGU